AUACAUGCAGUCGAGCGGAUCUUCAUUAGCUUGCUUUUGAAGAUCAGCGGCGGACGGGUGAGUAACACGUGGGCAACCUGCCUGUAAGACUGGGAUAACUUCGGGAAACCGGAGCUAAUACCGGAUAAUCCUUUCCCUCACAUGAGGGAAAGCUGAAAGACGGCAUCUCGCUGUCACUUACAGAUGGGCCCGCGGCGCAUUAGCUAGUUGGUGAGGUAACGGCUCACCAAGGCAACGAUGCGUAGCCGACCUGAGAGGGUGAUCGGCCACACUGGGACUGAGACACGGCCCAGACUCCUACGGGAGGCAGCAGUAGGGAAUCUUCCGCAAUGGACGAAAGUCUGACGGAGCAACGCCGCGUGAACGAUGAAGGCUUUCGGGUCGUAAAGUUCUGUUGUCAGGGAAGAACAAGUACCGGAGUAACUGCCGGUACCUUGACGGUACCUGACCAGAAAGCCACGGCUAACUACGUGCCAGCAGCCGCGGAAUACGUAGGUGGCAAGCGUGUCCGGAUUAUUGGGCGAAAGCGCGCGCAGG
rnacentral:rRNA from 1 species